UACGUAGGGGCCUAGCGUUGUCCGGAUUUAUUGGGCGUAAAGAGCUCGUAGGCGGUUUGGUGAGUCGGGUGUGAAAUCUCCACGCUCAACGUGGAGGGGCCACCCGAUACUGCCAUGACUAGAGUCCGGUAGGGGAGUGUGGAAUUCCCGGUGUAGCGGUGAAAUGCGCAGAUAUCGGGAGGAACACCAAUGGCGAAGGCAGCUCGCUGGGACGGUACUGACGCUGAGGCGCGAAAGCGUGGGGAGCAAACAGG
rnacentral:rRNA from 1 species